AGUGAACGCUGGCGGUAGGCCUAACACAUGCAAGUCGAACGGCAGCACAGUAAGAGCUUGCUCUUACGGGUGGCGAGUGGCGGACGGGUGAGGAAUACAUCGGAAUCUACUUUUUCGUGGGGGAUAACGUAGGGAAACUUACGCUAAUACCGCAUACGACCUACGGGUGAAAGCAGGGGAUCUUCGGACCUUGCGCGAUUGAAUGAGCCGAUGUCGGAUUAGCUAGUUGGCGGGGUAAAGGCCCACCAAGGCGACGAUCCGUAGCUGGUCUGAGAGGAUGAUCAGCCACACUGGAACUGAGACACGGUCCAGACGCCUACGGGAGGCAGCAGUGGGGAGUAUUGGACAAUGGGCGCAAGCCUGAUCCAGCCAUACCGCGUGGGUGAAGAAGGCCUUCGGGUUGUAAAGCCCUUUUGUUGGGAAAGAAAAGCAGCAGGUUAAUACCCCGCUGUUCUGACGGUACCCAAAGAAUAAGCACCGGCUAACUUCGUG
rnacentral:rRNA from 1 species